UACGGAGGAUGCAAGCGUUAUCCGGAAUGAUUGGGCGUAAAGCGUCCGCAGGUGGCAGUUCAAGUCUGCUGUCAAAGACCGGGGCUUAACUUCGGAAAGGCAGUGGAAACUGAACAGCUAGAGUAUGGUAGGGGCAGAGGGAAUUCCUGGUGUAGCGGUGAAAUGCGUAGAGAUCAGGAAGAACAUCGGUGGCGAAGGCGCUCUGCUGGACCAUAACUGACACUCAGGGACGAAAGCUAGGGGAGCGAACAGG
rnacentral:rRNA from 1 species